GCCGCCUUUCAAAAGCCCCACUUGGGUAAACUCCUUUGAGGAACACAACUGACGUAAUGGCAACUUCUAAGAAUUCUACAAGAAUCUGGGCAGUUUCACCUUGUGGACUUCGAUUGCGAUCCAUCACUCUCUCCUCAACUCCUAUGGUUUCUGCAGCAAUGUAUUAAGACGGUGCAGAGCAGUGAGACGAAUGAAAAUGGUUCAUUUGUG
rnacentral:misc_RNA from 1 species